GAUUCCGGAGGUCACCAUCCGCCAGCGAAGGUUCGCCCGCGGAUGCAAUUUGC
rnacentral:sRNA from 2 species